AUUGAACGCUAGCGGCCUGCCUAACACAUGCAAGUCGAACGAGUGGCGGACUGGUGAGUAAUGUCUCGGCACGUGCCCGAUAGCCGGGGAUAACUACUGGAACAGGUAGCUAAUACCGCAUACUAUCGGAGCUGCCGAGACUGGAUUAGAUAGUAGGGGGGGUAAAGGCUCACCAAGGCAAAGAUCCCUAGCUGGUCUGAGAGGAUGACCAGCCACAAUGGAACUGAGACACGGCCCAGACUCCUACGGGAGGCAGCAGUGGGGAAUCUUGCACAAUGGGCGAAAGCCUGAUGCAGCCAUGCCGCGUGUAUGAAGAAGGUCUUCGGGUUGUAAAGGACUUUCAGCAGGGAGGCGUUAUCCGCAGAAGAAGCACAGGCUAACUCCGUGCCAGCAGCCGCGGUAAUAC
rnacentral:rRNA from 1 species